GUACUUUGUUUACAUGAGAUUGUUCAUGACUUACGGGUGCGAGGGACCAAGGCUGUGGUUCUCAAACUUGACUUUGAAAAGGCCUACGACUCGGUUAGCUGGAAAUUCCUUCGGCAAGUUCUUUUGGCUAAGGGCUUUGAGGGGCCUGUUAUGCAGCGCUUGAUGCAAUUGGUUUCUGGGGGGCACACGGCUGUGGCUGUCAAUGGCCAAAUUAGCCAGUUUUUUGCUAAUGGCAGGGGCCUCAGGCAAGGGGAUCCAGCGUCCCCUUUACUCUUCAACUUUGUGGCUGAUGCUCUAUCUCGCAUUCUCUCUCGAGCUGCCUUGGCUGGUCAUAUCACUCCGGUGAGCUCUCAUCUCAUCCCUAAUGGCAUCUCUCAUCUCCAAUAUGCGGAUGAUACUAUAAUUCUGAUGGAACUUAAUGAUAAUAGCCUCACCAAUCUGAAAUUCCUUCUGCUUUGUUUCGAAGCGCUCUCAGGUCUUAAAAUCAAUUUCUCUAAGAGUGAGGUUGUAGUGACUGGGGUCUCGGACGAAGAGGCGCAGCGGGUGGCCCAUCUUCUG
rnacentral:rRNA from 1 species